UACAGAGGUCUCAAGCGUUGUUCGGAUUCAUUGGGCGUAAAGGGUGUGUAGGUGGCGCGCUAAGUCGGGUGUGAAAUUUCGGAGCUUAACUCCGAAACUGCAUUCGAUACUGGCGUGCUUGAGGACUGGAGAGGAGACUGGAAUUCAUGGUGUAGCAGUGAAAUGCGUAGAUAUCGUAAGGAAGACCAGUGGCGAAGGCGGGUCUCUGGACAGUUCCUGACGCUGAGGCGCGAAGGCCAGGGGAGCAAACGGG
rnacentral:rRNA from 1 species